AUUUGUUGGAGAGUCUGAAGCAGGUAAAUUUAGCUGAAGACUAUCAAAGGGACAAUUAGAAGGAGCGGCGUGCAGCAGGAGUCCGAACCAAUUGGGAGAAUUUCAUUGAGACUACUGGCUUCGACGCGGGGGAGGCGUACUACAUAUGGGAAAUAUCCUAUCAUCUUCAACAAGUCAAAGAUGCCACAAUAAGAAUGGAAUUUCCGGAAACAAAUACAGUGCAUUGUGAAGACUUGCCCAAUCUAAAGAGUUUUUCCUCAGGAAACAUUGUUGAAUGGCCAUACUUGGAAAAUCUUAUUUUGAACCACUGCCCUAACUUAAAGAAGUUUGGAUUCGGAAAGAUUAAAGAGUCACGAUUCAAAUCAUUCAUCAUGGAAAAUGAAGUGCAACAUAAUAUUGAUACACAAGUUACCAAUUUUUUUGAAUCAUGGGUUAGUUCUCUAUCAAAACACUAUUUGCCAUAAUAGACUAAAAACAUUAAGCUUGUUUACGGUUAUGCUUUUGCCCUCUUUAAUUGUUAUUAACUACGAUUUUCAAAUCUAAACUUUUUUAAUUAAUUAAGUCCAUCUACUUUUUAGAUUGAGUGACUUUUGAUUCUUUUAUAAAUAUUGUUCUAUUAUGAG